UGCCAAAGUCAAAGUGCCCAAAAAGCCUCUUCUUUCAAUGUUUCAGUACUCACUCAGGAUGUCCACAAGGAAUGAUCUUCCAUGACGACCAACUUGUGUGAAUUCCUCCACUAAACUACAGUUCGGUUGUGCGUCUACUACUCAAAACUCCGCAAUAGUUCAACGAAAAAUGUCUACAUCAGUUUCAACUAAAAAAGACCAUAAGUUCAGAGGAAGAAAAAGAUCACAUGCGCGUUUUGGUCCACGCAGGCCACCAGAGGAAUAAAAAAUGUUUCUUCAUUCAGUUCAGGUUGCUCUAGGAUUUGUCCAUGUUCUGGAGGGAAGUAAUUAACUUGUGGUUUGA